GGUUCAUUCAAAUUUCUUCCCUAUCAACUUUCGAUGCGAGGGUAUUUGCCUCGCAUGGUUACAACGGGUAACGGAGGGUUAGGGCUCGACCCGGAGAAGGAGCCUGAGAAACGGCUACUACAUCCAAGGAAGGCAGCAGGCGCGCAAAUUACCCAAUCCCGACCGGGGAGGUAGUGACAAUAAAUACUGAUACAGGGCUCUUUUGGGUCUUGUAAUCGGAAUGAGUACAAUUUAAAUCUCUUAACGAGGAACAAUUGGAGGGCAAGUCUGGUGCCAGAGCCGCGGUAAUUCCAGCUCCAAUAGCGUAUAUUAAAGUUGUAGUGGUUAAAAAGCUCGUAGUUG
rnacentral:rRNA from 1 species